UCUCCUUGUCUCUCUACAGGCAGGCAUCAUCGGCGGCCCGCCAUCUGCAGGACAAGGAGGAGCUGGAUGUCUCCAGGGAGACAUCAAUAUCCAUCCAGUGAGGAGGCCUGGGCCCCCCAAAGUUGACCUGGGGAAGCUGCUGCGCCAGUGACGCUCGGCUGCCUCUCUGCAUGUCCAGGUGAGAAAUAUGGGAGGCUCCUCAGCCCCCCAAAGGAGCCUGGCAGGGCCCUGGGGGGUCCCUGAGCCCUCUGCAGUGGGCAGAGCUUGGGGACAGCAGAGGGACACCCAGGGGGCUGUCCCUGCUCCGUGUCCCGGGGCAGCUGGACAGAGCUGCCCCCAAGCCUUGCCUUGCACUGGGGGCUCUGCAGACCCCCAGGCUCACCGGGAGGGCAGGGAGGGGCUCGGGGAGGUGUCACAGCAUCCCGGGCUCAGGGGCUCUGGGGCCACAUGGAUCUCAGCAUCCAAUUCCCUUCUCCUGCCCCAGCUCCCUGCAGACAGACGGGGUGGGGACAAGGCCCCUGCCAUGUCCCUGUGGAC